UUUGAAGUCCGAUUGUACAAACCCUAAACGCAACCCUAGUUUUUUCCUUUCUCCUCCAUAUUAGUCCACACGAUUUCAGUGGAUCCAGAAAACAGUUAGGGGAUUUCAGUGCGGUUUCCUUAAGUUAAACGAUUCUGUUCUUCCAUCCUAUUUUGAGUUUCAUGCUUCUGAUUUGAUUUGGGUGUUCCACCGGAUUAUUUGGUUGUGUUAAAUCCAGGGAAAUGAAGAAACUUCGCAAGCCUGAAUGCAUUCAAUGCGUGUUUUUGAUGAAAACUUGCACGUCAGUCAGAUCCCAAUGUACUUUCGGCUUUAUGUCAUAGUUUAUUAGUGAUUUGAUUUUUUUUGUAAUCUUUUGAAGCUUAUCGACGGUCGAGUGCUGAUGAAAUAUGCAUGAUCAGUUCUCAACAAAAUCGUAAGCAAUAUUAAUUCACAGACGGUUCUGCUUUUCUUUCUUUCCACUCGAUUUUGGAAUGAGAUGUUGCAGGGCCGUGUACAUUCACGAAGAAAAUGUUGAAAGUUUUAUCUUAGGUUUAAGUAUUGAUCCAAAAAAAACUAAUUUGUUUUAUUUUCGCUUGGAAUUUUAUUGUCCUGAAAUUCUAUUCUUCUCUGGAUGAUUUGUCACGCUUUGCACGGAGAGGGUUUUCCGAUUUGCUAAAUGUCAGAAUCUGCUCGGUAAAAGGUUUAUAUUUGUAUACUUCUGCCUCACCAGGUCUACAGGAUCAGGAUGAGGAUCUGGAAAUUUUUGAUAAUAGUAUAGGUUGUUUGGGAGUAGACUUUGGCGACAUUACACUACACUUCAUAUGGCUGGAUCAUUUUUAUGAUUUUCUAGUUAUGGAGGAGUUUCCUAGGACAUUAGGGUUUGAGACAUUUCAUUCGGCAGUGCACUUUGGGAGAGUUUGUUUGCCAAAUAAAUAGGGAAUAAAAGAUUAGUAGUCGAAUUUUGCCCUUCUCAAAAGUUAAUAAUUGAAGUAUUGUUUGAGGAUCUGA